GACGAACGCUGGCGGCGUGCUUAACACAUGCAAGUCGAACGGUAAGGCCCUUCGGGGUACACGAGUGGCGAACGGGUGAGUAACACGUGGGUGAUCUGCCCUGCACUUCGGGAUAAGCCUGGGAAACUGGGUCUAAUACCGGAUAGGACUCCUGGCUUCAUGGUUGGGGGUGGAAAGCUUUUGCGGUGUGGGAUGGGCCCGCGGCCUAUCAGCUUGUUGGUGGGGUAAUGGCCUACCAAGGCGACGACGGGUAGCCGGCCUGAGAGGGUGACCGCUCAAACUGGGACUGAGAAACGGCCCAGAGUCCUACGGGAAGCAGCAGUGGGGAAUAUUGCACAAGGGGCGCAAGCCUGACGCAGCGACGCCGCGUGAGGGAUGACGGCCUUCGGGUUGUAAACCUCUUUCAGCUAUGACGAGGCGCAAGUGACGGUAGUAGCAGAAGAAGGACCGGCCAACUACGUGCCAGCAGCCGCGGUAA
rnacentral:rRNA from 1 species